GAUGAAGAACGCAGCGAAAUGCGAUAAGUAAUGUGAAUUGCAGAAUUCAGUGAAUCAUCGAAUCUUUGAACGCACAUUGCGCCCGCCAGUAUUCUGGCGGGCAUGCCUGUUCGAGCGUUAUUACAACCCUCAGGCCCCCGGGCCUGGCGUUGGGGAUCGGCGGAGCCCCCCGUGGGCACACGCCGUCCCCCAAAUACAGUGGCGGUCCCGCCGCAGCUUCCAUCGCGUAGUAGCUAACACCUCGCGACUGGAGAGCGGCGCGGCCACGCCGUAAAACACCCAACUCUUCUGAAGUUGACCUCGAAUCAGGUAGGAAUACCCGCUGAACUUAAGCAUAUCAAUAAGCGGAGGA
rnacentral:misc_RNA from 1 species